AACGAACGCUGGCGGCAUGCCUAACACAUGCAAGUCGAACGAGACCUUCGGGUCUAGUGGCGCACGGGUGCGUCACGCGUGGGAAUCUGCCCUGGGGGUCGGAAUAACAGUUAGCAAUGACUGCUAAUACCGGUUGAUGACUUCGGUCCAAAGAUUUAUCGCCCAAGAAUGAGCCCGCGUAGGAUUAGCUAGUUGGUAGGGUAAAGGCAUACCAAGGCGACGAUCCUUAGCUGGUCUGAGAGGAUGAUCAACCACACUGGGACUGAGGCACGGCCCAGGCUCCUACGGGAGGCAGCAGUGGGGAAUAUUGGACAAUGGGCGAAAGCCUGAUCCAGCAAUGCCGCGUGAGUGAUGAAGGCCCUAGGGUUGUAAAGCUCUUUUACCCGGGAUGAUAAUGACAGUACCGUGAGAAUAAGCCCCGGCUAACUCCGUGCCAGCAGCCGCCGUAAAAC
rnacentral:rRNA from 1 species